GCUUAUACAACAAUUACAUAUAUGCUAACAAAGAUCUGCCCAAAAUCUUCUAACUUUCCACUGCCUCAGCCCAAUCUUAACAUUUAAGCAAGCGGUACGCUAUCCUGAAAAAUUUAUCAACAAAUGGGGUGAGCAUAAAGAGCUCAGCAAGUGACUAACAUAUCCAUAUCGAAAUAGGACAAUUUCCAAAGAGAUAAAGUUUCAUAAUACAAGGCAGAAUGUACGAAUUCGUAGACAUAAUAUCAUUAGGUGCAGAAUCACAAUUGUCCUUUCAAUCAUACAUAUUUGGUUCAUAACAAAUGGGGCAUAGAGUAAUUGGAGCAUAUCAGAAACGAAUGAAACGUUUUGGAGCAUAACAAUAACAAAUGAAACAUUUCAGAGCUUAUCAAUAUCACAUACCAAACAGAAGCUCAAACGUCGUCUUUGACGUUGCAUUCAUAUCAUUCUUAUCCAAAGCAUGUACAAAAACACAUAACCAAAGCUCUGGAUAUCAUAUCAAACAUACAGAAGGUGUAGUGGGAUCUCAGUCAGAAUGUGAUUCAUCCAUUUCUGAAUGACCACCUGACAAAAGUCUCCCACGUCUGGGAGCUCCAUCCACCCAUGUCUAGGUGAAGCCAGAG
rnacentral:lncRNA from 1 species